CCCGCACGGGGAGUGGCAGACGGGUGAGUAACGCGUGGGAACAUACCCUUUCCUGCGGAAUAGCUCCGGGAAACUGGAAUUAAUACCGCAUACGCCCUACGGGGGAAAGAUUUAUCGGGGAAGGAUUGGCCCGCGUUGGAUUAGCUAGUUGGUGGGGUAAAGGCCUACCAAGGCGACGAUCCAUAGCUGGUCUGAGAGGAUGAUCAGCCACAUUGGGACUGAGACACGGCCCAAACUCCUACGGGAGGCAGCAGUGGGGAAUAUUGGACAAUGGGCGCAAGCCUGAUCCAGCCAUGCCGCGUGAGUGAUCAAGGCCUUAGGGUUGUAAAGCUCUUUCACCGAUGAAGAUAAUGACGGUAGUCGGAGAAGAAGCCCCGGCUAACUUCGUGCCAGCAGCCGCGGUAAUACGAAGGGGGCUAGCGUUGUUCGGAAUUACUGGGCGUAAA
rnacentral:rRNA from 1 species